CAGUUGGGAGUGAUUAUAGGCUGCCUAGGGGAACUGGGACAGCUGAUCCAGCUAAUUGGCUGGCCACAGGAAGUUAAAAGGCUCCCAGGGAAAGGAGCAGCAAUAGCUGCUGCUGCCAGGUUAGUGGUGGCAGCAGUAGGUCUGGUUGUUUAUCAGGACCUGAAAAGAAACCCAAGGCUGUGAGGUUGGAAACAGCUGCACAGCCACAGGGCUGGAGUCAGAGCCAGGCAGAGAAAGAAGACUGUAGUGCAGAGGAAGCAGCAGUGAGCUGGAGGCAUGUUCUCAGGGCUAGAGGAGACUCAAGACUUACUUGAAGAGGCUGGCCUUUGCAUGUGAGGAACAGAAAAAGAUGACAGCCAUAGCAAAGUACAGUAACUGUGAGAGAUGCCUGGGAAGGUAACAGGUUAUUUUGCUCCAGUGAUCUUGUUUACUUGAGACCAUGCACUUUAAGCCAGCUCUGCUACGUGAAAUAUAGACAACUGGAGAAAAGACUUCCUAUAAUUAUCCAUUAGUCAUAAUUUUCUUUGAAGACUAACCUUUGGUUUAAGAUUUAUUUUUUUUAAUUAAAAAAGAGAGAUUCCUCCUCCAAACAACACUGUAAAGAAUUUACUAUUGCAAUGGUGUAUAACGAUAUCAAAAUAAAAGAAUACCAGUC